rnacentral:misc_RNA from 1 species
UGGAGAAGAGUAUGGACUGGUGCUGUGCUGAAUGACUAAGGAAGACAACAUAUUCACCAUCAACUUCUCAAUUUCAGCCUUUUGAUAGUGUCGAUACUUAUAUGGCCUGAUAUUAACUAGCUGAGUAUGGAGUAGCAAAGGAAUGGCAUGAUUAUGCCUCCUAAAUGGUGGCAACUCAUGAGGUUCUUGAGAUAUCUCAUUAUAUUGUUGCAACA